rnacentral:rRNA from 1 species
GAUGAACGCUGGCGGCGUGCCUAAUACAUGCAAGUCGAGCGAACAGAUGAGGGGCUUGCUCCUCUGACGUUAGCGGCGGACGGGUGAGGAACACGUGGAUAACCUACCUAUAAGACUGGGAUAACUUCGGGAAACCGGAUCUAAUACCGGAUAAUAUAUUGAACCGCAUGGUUCAAUAGUGAAAGACGGUUUUGCUGUCACUUAUAGAUGGAUCCGCGCCGCAUUAGCUAGUUGGUAAGGUAACGGCUUACCAAGGCAACGAUGCGUAGCCGACCUGAGAGGGUGAUCAGCCACACUGGAACUGAGACACGGUCCAGACUCCUACGGGAGGCAGCAGUAGGGAAUCUUCCGCAAUGGGCGAAAGCCUGACGGAGCAACGCCGCGUGAGUGAUGAAGGUCUUCGGAUCGUAAAGCUCUGUUAUUAGGGAAGAACAAAUGUGUAAGUAACUAUGCACGUCUUGACGGUACCUAAUCAGAAAGCCACGGCUAACUACGUG